rnacentral:rRNA from 1 species
GACGAACGCUGGCGGCGUGCUUAACACAUGCAAGUCGAACGGAAAGGCCCUGCUUUUGUGGGGCGCUCGAGUGGCGAACGGGUGAGUAACACGUGAGUAAACUGCCCUUGACUUUGGGAUAACAUCAGGAAACUGGGGCUAAUACCGGAUAGGAGCUCCUGCUGCAUGGUGGGGGAUGGAAAGUUUCGGCGGUUGGGGAUGGACUCGCGGCUUAUCCGCUUGUUGGUGGGGUAGUGGCUUACCAAGGUUGUGACGGGUAGCCGGCCUGAGAGGUUGACCGGCCACAUUGGGACUGAGAUACGGCCCAGACUCCUACGGGAGGCAGCAGUGGGGAAUAUUGCACAAUGGGCGGAAGCCUGAUGCAGCAACGCCGCGUGCGGGAUGACGGCCUUCGGGUUGUAAACCGCUUUCGCCUGUGACGAAGCGUGAGUGACGGUAAUGAGUAAGGAAGCACCGGCUAACUACGUG